rnacentral:rRNA from 1 species
UACGUAGGGUGCAAGCGUUGUCCGGAAUCAUUGGGCGUAAAGAGCGUGUAGGCGGCCCGGUAAGUCCGCCGUGAAAGUCCAGGGCUCAACCCUGGAAUGCCGGUGGAAACUGCCGGGCUGGAGUCCGGAAGAGGCGAGUGGAAUUCCUGGUGUAGCGGUGAAAUGCGCAGAUAUCAGGAGGAACACCAAUGGCGAAGGCAGCUCGCUGGGACGGUACUGACGCUGAGACGCGAAAGCGUGGGGAGCGAACAGG